AUUGGCGGCGUGCUUAACACAUGCAAGUCGAGCGGAAAGGCCCCUUCGGGGGUACUCGAGCGGCGAACGGGUGAGUAACACGUGAGUAACCUGCCCCUGACUUCGGGAUAAGCCUGGGAAACCGGGUCUAAUACCGGAUAUGACUUUCUCGUGCAUGCGGGAGGGUGGAAAGUUUUUUCGGUUGGGGAUGGGCUCGCGGCCUAUCAGCUUGUUGGUGGGGUGAUGGCCUACCAAGGCUUCGACGGGUAACCGGCCUGAGAGGGCGACCGU
rnacentral:rRNA from 1 species